AGUGAACGCUGGCGGUAGGCCUAACACAUGCAAGUCGAACGGCAGCACAGUAAGAGCUUGCUCUUACGGGUGGCGAGUGGCGGACGGGUGAGGAAUACAUCGGAAUCUACUUUUUCGGGGGGGAUAACGUGGGGAAACUUACGCUAAUACCGCAUACGACCUACGGGUGAAAGCAGGGGAUCUUCGGACCUUGCGCGAUUGAAUGAGCCGAUGUCGGAUUAGCUAGUUGGCGGGGUAAAGGCCCACCAAGGCGACGAUCCGUAGCUGGUCUGAGAGGAUGAUCAGCCACACUGGAACUGAGACACGGUCCAGACUCCUACGGGAGGCAGCAGUGGGGAAUAUUGGACAAUGGGCGCAAGCCUGAUCCAGCCAUACCGCGUGGGUGAAGAAGGCCUUCGGGUUGUAAAGCCCUUUUGUUGGGAAAGAAAAGCAGCAGGUUAAUACCCCGCUGUUCUGACGGUACCCAAAGAAUAAGCACCGGCUAACUUCGUG
rnacentral:rRNA from 1 species